AGGACGAACGCUGGCGGCGCGCCUAAAACAUGCAAGUCGAACGAGAAAUCCGGGCUUGCCCGGGUGGACAGUGGCGAACGGGUGAGUAACACGUGAGGAACCUGCCCCGAAGACCGGGACAACAUCGGGAAACCGUUGCUAAUACCGGAUACCUUCGCUUGAUCGCAUGGUCGAGCGAAGAAAUGGAUUCCGCUUCGGGAUGGCCUCGCGGCCUAUCAGCUUGUUGGUGAGGUAACGGCUCACCAAGGCAACGACGGGUAGCUGGUCUGAGAGGAUGUCCAGCCACACUGGGACUGAGACACGGCCCAGACUCCUACGGGAGGCAGCAGUUAGGAAUCUUGCGCAAUGGGCGAAAGCCUGACGCAGCGACGCCGCGUGCGGGAUGAAUGCCUUCGGGUUGUAAACCGCUUUCAGCAGGGACGAAAUUGACGGUACCUGCAGAAGAAGCCCGGCAACUACGCGCCAGCAGCCGCGGUAA
rnacentral:rRNA from 1 species